UUAAGCGACUAAGCGUACACGGUGGAUGCCCUGGCAGUCAGAGGCGAUGAAGGACGUGCUAAUCUGCGAUAAGCGUCGGUAAGGUGAUAUGAACCGUUAUAACCGGCGAUUUCCGAAUGGGGAAACCCAGUGUGUUUCGACACACUAUCAUUAACUGAAUCCAUAGGUUAAUGAGGCGAACCGGGGGAACUGAAACAUCUAAGUACCCCGAGGAAAAGAAAUCAACCGAGAUUCCCCCAGUAGCGGCGAGCGAACGGGGAGCAGCCCAGAGCCUGAAUCAGUGUGUGUGUUAGUGGAAGCGUCUGGAAAGGCGCGCGAUACAGGGUGACAGCCCCGUACACAAAAAUGCACAUGCUGUGAGCUCGAUGAGUAGGGCGGGACACGUGGUAUCCUGUCUGAAUAUGGGGGGACCAUCCUCCAAGGCUAAAUACUCCUGACUGACCGAUAGUGAACCAGUACCGUGAGGGAAAGGCGAAAAGAACCCCGGCGAGGGGAGUGAAAAAGAACCUGAAACCGUGUACGUACAAGCAGUGGGAGCACAGAGCAAUCUGUGUGACUGCGUACCUUUUGUAUAAUGGGUCAGCGACUUAUAUUCUGUAGCAAGGUUAACCGAAUAGGGGAGCCGAAGGGAAACCGAGUCUUAACUGGGCGUUAAGUUGCAGGGUAUAGACCCGAAACCCGGUGAUCUAGCCAUGGGCAGGUUGAAGGUUGGGUAACACUAACUGGAGGACCGAACCGACUAAUGUUGAAAAAUUAGCGGAUGACUUGUGGCUGGGGGUGAAAGGCCAAUCAAACCGGGAGAUAGCUGGUUCUCCCCGAAAGCUAUUUAGGUAGCGCCUCGUGAAUUCAUCUCCGGGGGUAGAGCACUGUUUCGGCAAGGGGGUCAUCCCGACUUACCAACCCGAUGCAAACUGCGAAUACCGGAGAAUGUUAUCACGGGAGACACACGGCGGGUGCUAACGUCCGUCGUGAAGAGGGAAACAACCCAGACCGCCAGCUAAGGUCCCAAAGUCAUGGUUAAGUGGGAAACGAUGUGGGAAGGCCCAGACAGCCAGGAUGUUGGCUUAGAAGCAGCCAUCAUUUAAAGAAAGCGUAAUAGCUCACUGGUCGAGUCGGCCUGCGCGGAAGAUGUAACGGGGCUAAACCAUGCACCGAAGCUGCGGCAGCGACGCUUAGGCGUUGUUGGGUAGGGGAGCGUUCUGUAAGCCUGCGAAGGUGUGCUGUGAGGCAUGCUGGAGGUAUCAGAAGUGCGAAUGCUGACAUAAGUAACGAUAAAGCGGGUGAAAAGCCCGCUCGCCGGAAGACCAAGGGUUCCUGUCCAACGUUAAUCGGGGCAGGGUGAGUCGACCCCUAAGGCGAGGCCGAAAGGCGUAGUCGAUGGGAAACAGGUUAAUAUUCCUGUACUUGGUGUUACUGCGAAGGGGGGACGGAGAAGGCUAUGUUGGCCGGGCGACGGUUGUCCCGGUUUAAGCGUGUAGGCUGGUUUUCCAGGCAAAUCCGGAAAAUCAAGGCUGAGGCGUGAUGACGAGGCACUACGGUGCUGAAGCAACAAAUGCCCUGCUUCCAGGAAAAGCCUCUAAGCAUCAGGUAACAUCAAAUCGUACCCCAAACCGACACAGGUGGUCAGGUAGAGAAUACCAAGGCGCUUGAGAGAACUCGGGUGAAGGAACUAGGCAAAAUGGUGCCGUAACUUCGGGAGAAGGCACGCUGAUAUGUAGGUGAAGCGACUUGCUCGUGGAGCUGAAAUCAGUCGAAGAUACCAGCUGGCUGCAACUGUUUAUUAAAAACACAGCACUGUGCAAACACGAAAGUGGACGUAUACGGUGUGACGCCUGCCCGGUGCCGGAAGGUUAAUUGAUGGGGUCAGCGCAAGCGAAGCUCUUGAUCGAAGCCCCGGUAAACGGCGGCCGUAACUAUAACGGUCCUAAGGUAGCGAAAUUCCUUGUCGGGUAAGUUCCGACCUGCACGAAUGGCGUAAUGAUGGCCAGGCUGUCUCCACCCGAGACUCAGUGAAAUUGAACUCGCUGUGAAGAUGCAGUGUACCCGCGGCAAGACGGAAAGACCCCGUGAACCUUUACUAUAGCUUGACACUGAACAUUGAGCCUUGAUGUGUAGGAUAGGUGGGAGGCUUAGAAGUGUGGACGCCAGUCUGCAUGGAGCCGACCUUGAAAUACCACCCUUUAAUGUUUGAUGUUCUAACGUUGACCCGUGAUCCGGGUUGCGGACAGUGUCUGGUGGGUAGUUUGACUGGGGCGGUCUCCUCCUAAAGAGUAACGGAGGAGCACGAAGGUUGGCUAAUCCUGGUCGGACAUCAGGAGGUUAGUGCAAUGGCAUAAGCCAGCUUGACUGCGAGCGUGACGGCGCGAGCAGGUGCGAAAGCAGGUCAUAGUGAUCCGGUGGUUCUGAAUGGAAGGGCCAUCGCUCAACGGAUAAAAGGUACUCCGGGGAUAACAGGCUGAUACCGCCCAAGAGUUCAUAUCGACGGCGGUGUUUGGCACCUCGAUGUCGGCUCAUCACAUCCUGGGGCUGAAGUAGGUCCCAAGGGUAUGGCUGUUCGCCAUUUAAAGUGGUACGCGAGCUGGGUUUAGAACGUCGUGAGACAGUUCGGUCCCUAUCUGCCGUGGGCGCUGGAGAACUGAGGGGGGCUGCUCCUAGUACGAGAGGACCGGAGUGGACGCAUCACUGGUGUUCGGGUUGUCAUGCCAAUGGCACUGCCCGGUAGCUAAAUGCGGAAGAGAUAAGUGCUGAAAGCAUCUAAGCACGAAACUUGCCCCGAGAUGAGUUCUCCCUGACCCUUUAAGGGUCCUGAAGGAACGUUGAAGACGACGACGUUGAUAGGCCGGGUGUGUAAGCGCAGCGAUGCGUUGAGCUAACCGGUACUAAUGAACCGUGAGGCUUAACCUU
rnacentral:rRNA from 2 species